UAUUGAAUUAUCAGUUCUGGAAGUUUUUGCUGAAGGACUUUAUAUAGUAUCAUGGCAUCUGCCAAUAGGGACAGCUUUACUUCUUUCUUACCAAUUUGAAUGCCUUUUAUUUAUUUUUCUUGUCCGACUGCUGUGGCCAGGACUUCCAAUAGUAUGAUGAAUAAAAGUGGCAGGAAGGGGC